GCACUCAUAGCUUAACUGGAUAGAGUAUCGCCCUCCGAAGGCGGUGGCGUGGGUUCGAGUCCCGCUGAGUGUGCCA
rnacentral:tRNA from 1 species